rnacentral:lncRNA from 1 species
UCAAACAAACUUAGUUCAAUGCUGAGAAGCUUAGACAGGUGCUUAAUUUGCGUUUGCAUUUCUUUAGACAGGUGCUUAAUUUGCGUUUGCAUUUCUCUAGCACUCGCUCAUCUCUAAUCUCCAAUGCACAAGUGCUUCACUAAAAUACUCCGGCUAGAUGCGUCUCCGCCCUCAUCUCGUCCCAGGUUUCGUUCUCGCCGGCUUGCUGCGCCUCCGCCCCCAGCUCGUCCAAGGUAUGGAGCUCGCCGGAUUGCUGCGCGCCUGCGUCUCCGCCCCCAGCUCGUCCAAGGUAUGGAGCUCGCCGGCGGCUAGCUGCUCGUGGAGCUCGCCGCUCGCCUAUGCCUCCGCCUCCAGCUCUUUCGAGGCGUGCAGCUCGCCGGCUUGCUGCGCGCCUGCGCCUCCGCCCCCAGGUCGUCCGAG